UACGUAGGGUGCGAGCGUUGUCCGGAAUUAUUGGGCGUGAAGAGCUUGUAGGCGGUUUGUCGCGUCUGCUGUGAAAAUCCGGGGCUCAACCCCGGACUUGCAGUGGGUACGGGCAGACUGGAGUGUGGUAGGGGGAGACUGGAAUUCCUGGUGUAGCGGUGGAAUGCGCAGAUAUCAGGAGGAACACCGGUGGCGAAGGCGGGUCUCUGGGCAGUAACUGACGCUGAGGAGCGAAAGCGUGGGGAGCGAACAGG
rnacentral:rRNA from 1 species